ensembl:snRNA U6 U6 spliceosomal RNA
AUAUACUAGUACAUAUACAUACACUAAAAUUGGAAUGAUACAGAGAAGAUUAGAAUGGCAUCUGUGCAAGGAUGACACACAAAUUCAUGAAGCAUUCCAUACUUAG